GAUGAACGCUGACAGAAUGCUUAACACAUGCAAGUCCACUUGAACUUCGGUUUGGGUGGCGGACGGGUGAGUAACGCGUAAAGAACUUGCCUCACAGAUAGGGACAACAUUUGGAAACGAAUGCUAAUACCUGAUAUUAUGAUUAUAUGGCAUCGUAUAAUUAUGAAAGCUAUAUGCGCUGUGAGAGAGCUUUGCGUCCCAUUAGCUAGUUGGAGAGGUAACGGCUCACCAAGGCGAUGAUGGGUAGCCGGCCUGAGAGGGUGAUCGGCCACAAGGGGACUGAGACACGGCCCUUACUCCUACGGGAGGCAGCAGUGGGGAAUAUUGGACAAUGGACCAAGAGUCUGAUCCAGCAAUUCUGUGUGCACUAUGAAGUUUUUCGGAAUGUAAAGUGCUUUCAGUUGGGAAGAAAAAAAUGACGGUACCAACAGAAGAAGUGACGGCUAAAUACGUG
rnacentral:rRNA from 1 species